rnacentral:rRNA from 1 species
AGUGAACGCUGGCGGUAGGCCUAACACAUGCAAGUCGAACGGCAGCACAGUGGGAGCUUGCUCUUACGGGUGGCGAGUGGCGGACGGGUGAGGAAUACAUCGGAAUCUACUUUUUCGUGGGGGAUAACGUAGGGAAACUUACGCUAAUACCGCAUACGACCUACGGGUGAAAGCAGGGGAUCUUCGGACCUUGCGCGAUUGAAUGAGCCGAUGUCGGAUUAGCUAGUUGGCGGGGUAAAGGCCCACCAAGGCGACGAUCCGUAGCUGGUCUGAGAGGAUGAUCAGCCACACUGGAACUGAGACACGGUCCAGACUCCUACGGGAGGCAGCAGUGGGGAAUAUUGGACAAUGGGCGCAAGCCUGAUCCAGCCAUACCGCGUGGGUGAAGAAGGCCUUCGGGUUGUAAAGCCCUUUUGUUGGGAAAGAAAAGCAGCAGGUUAAUACCCCGCUGUUCUGACGGUACCCAAAGAAUAAGCACCGGCUAACUUCGUG